GCCUCCUUGGUGUAGUCCGGCCAAUCAUAUUGCCCUCUCGAGGCAAUGACUCGGGUUCAAAUCCCGGAGGAGGCA
rnacentral:tRNA from 1 species